rnacentral:rRNA from 1 species
UACGAAGGGCCCAAGCGUUAUCCGGAUUUAUUGGGCUUAAAGGGUGCGUAGGCGGCUUAUUAAGUCAGUGGUGAAAGCUCCAUGCUUAACAUGGAAAUUGCCAUUGAUACUGAUGAGCUUGAGUAGAUUUGAAGUGGGCGGAAUGUGUCGUGUAGCGGUGAAAUGCUUAGAUAUGACACAGAACACCGAUUGCGUAGGCAGCUCACUAAACUCUUACUGACGCUGAGGCACGAAAGCAUGGGGAUCAAACAGG